AAGCAAGACCAUAGAGCAGAACACAAACUUACCUGGUGAAACACUGGUUCUUUCCACUGUGCAGCCAACAGCCAACCACCUGUCACAUGGCUCAGCCCCUUGCUGUCAUGUUCGGUGUAACAAACCCGGAGAAUGGCUACCAAGAAAGUGAUUGUGCUAUCAAGAAAUCUUAGAUAAGUGAACACAGCAGCAAUGAGCAAGUAUGCGGGGGUCAUCGUUGGGGUCACCGGGGAGCUGGAGCCUAUCCUAGCUGACUUUGGACUGGUUGCCUGCCAAUCACAGGAAGCCAGAACACCUGUAAGAAAACUCACACAAGCACAAAGAGAACAUGCAAACUCCACACGGAAAGGCCGCAGCCCAGCUUUGAACCCCAAACCCAUGUUUGCAACAGUCUUCCCAAGUUGAACUGCUUUAAGACUCCAUUGUGUUGAAGUCAAAGUAUAAUUUUUUAAGUUUAAAUAGUUAAGUCUAGGCAUGCCCGACACGCAAUAAAUCUUUCACAAAUGCGGGUUACAGACCUGCAACAGGUAUCAUGCCCAAAUCGUUUCUUUCCAUGGUAAACCGAGGACCCCCUGUACUUA